rnacentral:snRNA from 1 species
ACUUUGAAAAGAGAGUCAAA